UCCCUGGUGGUCCAGCAGUUAAGACUCUGCACUCGCAAUGCAGGGGCCCCGGGUUCGAUCCCUGGUGAGGGAA